AUUGUUUGCCUUUUUCACCUGUGCUUAGUGGUUCCACCCUGGUGAGUUUCAAAAAUUUGGCACCAAUUAUAUUUUUGUUUUAAUUUCACUGUUAUUUCUUGGGGAAUUAAAGUUCUGAAGCAGCUAAGUAUUGCUCGAUGUCCAAGGGUAUGUGUUCCAUUUCUUUGAUCAGCUUGACAUACUUGUUCAAUGAUACAGUUAGCUUUGGAUCUCCUAAUUGCUUGAAAUGUUUGGAUCUCUGUUUGCAGAUUUAUGCAUUUUGUUGAAAAGAGUUCAUAUGAAUAACUUUGGAGAACCUAUCAAAUUGUAGAAAUUUACAGGAUACAAAAACAAAAAAUAGCAUAUAAAUGGUCAUGAAAGAGUUUGUGUUAUGAUUAUGGAUUGAUGCUGCACCAGUUCCUCUUCCAAAUGAAUCUACAAGCAUCAGAUCUCCGUCUGCAUUGCCUGCUGUGCCAGCUCCUCGUAGCUCCUCAUAGAAACACUGGAAAUUUAUAUUUAUUUUUUGUUAAACUUCGUUAAUUAUCGUAUGUUAAUUUCUUUUGUCGUUGAAUUUCAUUAGAUCAAGACUUUGUUAGUUAUUGUG